GAAGCCAGGGAUAGUAAUUUUCAGUCUUAGUUCAGUUUCACUUUACUUUGGUAAAUUAUCAACAUUACACACAGAAAACAAAACAAAAUGAUAAUUUACAAACCCGUAAUUAACCACAAAAGGGAAUAGGCUUAUGCUCGACUACCAUGUUCAGGUUAAUGUUUUCCAUGUAAGCCAAGAACUUUUGAGUCUUAGUUGAACAGAGAACCUUUCUUCACUCGUUUUCUGUGUCGUCUACACAAUUUGUACCAAACUUAAUGGGAUUUCUUAUGGUUUUUUUUCCCCUUUUCAUUCUUCUUUGAAGCCCAGAUUAAUUGCUGUUCUGACAGCAGUUAUCCACCCGAGUUGCAGAUCCCCUCUACUCCUCCAGAGUUGAUAAGCUGUUUUUAUAAACAAAAUUUUAAUGCUUUUGUAGAUGCACUGAUGUUCCAAACGUUUUCCAUGUUUGGAAAAUAUAUUGCAGAUGUAACCCUUGGAACAUUAAUUGAUAACCUUACUGACUAAUAGUUUUUCAACCACAAUCAUGCACCACUUUAUGUAAAUCUAUCACAUAAAAUAGACAAGACUGUAAUACUUUAGCGAGGCAUUGCAACCAGGGGUUCAGAAGAUAACAAAGGCAAACCAUAAUAACAGACAAAAAUGUGAACUGUAAUUUGUAAAAUCAUCACUUUAAUAAGGUGCUGAACAUUUGUGACAGUCGUGUUUGUUUUAUCCCAAAGGAACUCAAAGUAAUAACCAAAUCCCAGGACACUACAUAGUGUAAAAAAAAACAAAACCAAACAGAAAAUGACCUUUGACAUAAUCCAGAGGUAAAAUAUUCACAGUGUGGAGAGAAGGAGGGGGUUGAAUGCACUGCGCUGGAUAAUUAAGGCAACACAUCUGCAGGUGAAAGAACCUUUUCUUUACAAGGCGAGAGAGGAAAAAACAGCACCAGGAACAAAUUGCGCAGCCUUCUUUAUCUCCAGAGGGAAAACAUAAAAAAAAACUUCCUAUAGUUUCUGGGAGAAAAAAAAAACACACCAGAAAAUAAGCAUGUUAGACAAAACCUAUUUUUUCCCUCUACAGCAGAGAUUAAUAUUCAGGUGCUUUUGUUGUAGUGGCAAAUCCAUGAGAUGGACUACUACUUCGUUUUUUUUUUUUUUUAGUAAGUUGUUGCAAAGGACGCUGCUGGUGCUUUGAACAAAAAAACUUAUAAAUAAAAGGUCUGUCAUCAAACUUCUUAUUUCUGGCUGUUGUCUUGUUAGUGUUGAGGCUUUUUUUUGUUUCAAUAAAUACUGGCACACCGCUUAGGAAGAAAAGUGAAUGAUUUAAAAAAAAAAAGCUGUA